GGCUCUCUCUCAGCUCCUGUUUCUCUCCUCAGCUUCCCCACCAAGGGCAGCAGGAGCCGGACCCUCUGACGUGGCC
ensembl:miRNA